UAAUGAAUAUUGGACAAUGGGCGCAAGCCUGAUCCAGCCAUGCCGCGUGGGUGAAGAAGGCCUUCGGGUUGUAAAGCCCUCUUGUCCGGAAAGAAAAGUUCUGGGUUAAUAGCCCAGGAUCAUGACGGUACCGGAAGAAUAAGCACCGGCUAACUUCGUGCCAGCAGCCGCGGGAAUACGAAGGGUGCAAGCGUUACUCGGAAUUACUGGGCGUAAAGCGUGCGUAGGUGGUGGUUUAAGUCAGAUGUGAAAGCCCUGGGCUCAACCUGGGAACUGCAUUUGAUACUGGAUCACUAGAGUGCGGUAGAGGAUGGUGGAAUUCCCGGUGUAGCGGUGAAAUGCGUAGAGAUCGUAAGGAACACCAGUGGCGAAGGCGGCUACCUGGUACAGCACUGACGCUGAGUCACGAAAGCGUGGGGAGCAAAC
rnacentral:rRNA from 1 species